ACUCCUACGGGAGGCAGCAGUGGGGAAUUUUGGACAAUGGGGGCAACCCUGAUCCAGCCAUUCCGCGUGAGUGAAGAAGGCCUUCGGGUUGUAAAGCUCUUUCAGCCGGAACGAAACGGUACGCGCUAACAUCGUGUGCUAAUGACGGUACCGGCAGAAGAAGCACCGGCUAACUACGUGCCAGCAGCCGCGGUAAUACGUAGGGUGCGAGCGUUAAUCGGAAUUACUGGGCGUAAAGCGUGCGCAGGCGGAUUAUUAAGCAAGACGUGAAAGCCCCGGGCUUAACCUGGGAAUGGCGUUUUGAACUGGUAGUCUAGAGUGCGUCAGAGGGGGGUGGAAUUCCACGUGUAGCAGUGAAAUGCGUAGAGAUGUGGAGGAACACCAAUGGCGAAGGCAGCCCCCUGGGAUGACACUGACGCUCAUGUACGAAAGCGUGGGUAGCAAACAGGAUUAGAUACCCUGGUAGUC
rnacentral:rRNA from 1 species